AUAGUGAACCAGUACCGUGAGGGAAAGGCGAAAAGAACCCCGGCGAGGGGAGUGAAAAAGAACCUGAAACCGUGUACGUACAAGCAGUGGGAGCACCCUUUGGGGUGUGACUGCGUACCUUUUGUAUAAUGGGUCAGCGACUUAUAUUCUGUAGCAAGGUUAACCGUAUAGGGGAGCCGGAGGGAAACCGAGUCUUAAUUGGGCGUUAAGUUGCAGGGUAUAGACCCGAAACCCGGUGAUCUAGCCAUGGGCAGGUUGAAGGUUGGGUAACACUAACUGGAGGACCGAACCGACUAAUGUUGAAAAAUUAGCGGAUGACCUGUGGCUGGGGGUGAAAGGCCAAUCAAACCGGGAGAUAGCUGGUUCUCCCCGAAAGCUAUUUAGGUAGCGCCUCGUGAAUUCAUCUCCGGGGGUAGAGCACUGUUUCGGCUAGGGGGCCAUCCCGGCUUACCAACCCGAUGCAAACUGCGAAUACCGGAGAAUGUUAUCACGGGAGACACACGGCGGGUGCUAACGUCCGUCGUGAAGAGGGAAACAACCCAGACCGCCAGCUAAGGUCCCAAAGUCAUGGUUAAGUGGGAAACGAUGUGGGAAGGCCCAGACAGCCAGGAUGUUGGCUUAGAAGCAGCCAUCAUUUAAAGAAAGCGUAAUAGCUCACUGGUCGAGUCGGCCUGCGCGGAAGAUGUAACGGGGCUAAACCAUGCACCGAAGCUGCGGCAGCGAACGUAUCACUUAAAGCGAUUCAGCG
rnacentral:rRNA from 1 species